rnacentral:lncRNA from 1 species
UUCAUUUUGCCAAUACCAUAAUAAACAUUAUAUUUUUUUUACCUUUUCACAAAAUAAUACUUCUUUUAUAAUAACUAUGAUAUGUUCAUGUAACAAAAGUACUUUACAUAGUAAAAACAUGUUCUAAAAAUAUAGAAAAUGUCUUUUCUCUGCUUUAAUACGUUUACUAUAGCAUUUUUUUUUUGUUAUUAAAUUAUUUGCUCAAUUUUUUUUUUUAAUUAUAAAAAAAAUUUUAUUACAACUUUUUACGUCAUUAUUGCAAGGUUUAACAGUAUAUUUGUUCUAUUAUGAACAAAAAUUAUUUUUAGGAUGGCACAACAUUCGAUGCAUUUGUAAAAAAAUAUAUAUCGUCACAUAUGAGUAAAAAAAAAAAAUAAAAAAUAAAAAUAAAAAAAUUAUGAAAAAUAUGAAAUUAUGAAGAUUAUACAAAAUGUAUAUAACGCAUAAAACUAUUCAAAAAAAAUUAAUAAACAUUAUUAUAUAAUUGUAUGUGAAAAAAAAUAAUGUUUAUCAAAACUUUUAAAGUAUUUAUCACUUUUUUUUUUUUAUGGGCAUGGACUUAUAAAGACAAAGCACGUAUAAGAAAUAUAUUAAACACAAAAUACGAUAGAUUGUUAGCUCAAUAUGAUAUCUCUCCAGACGACUGUUUUAAUUAUUCUACAGUAGAUUAUACUAAUAAUAAAACAUGUGAUGACUGUGGUAAAAAUAGAAAAAAUGUUAAAUAUAAAAGAAAAGGCAUAAAUUUUCAAAAUGAAGAAUAUAAUAAAAAAAAAUUAAUUUAUUUACCCGAUAUUAAACAAGAAAUAAUUAAAAUAUUAGCAAACCGAAAUGAACCCGAAAUAACGUUCAUAUUAGCAAAAAAUAAAAACAUACAAGAAAAAGAUUUACUAGAAAUUUAUAAUCUUAUAAAGCAUGUCAUUUCGUGUCAUGAAUAUUUACAAAUUAUAAAUACAAGUUGUGAUUUAUUAAAAGAUAAACACCUUGAUGAUAAUAAUUAUGCUGAAACUUAUUACAGCUCUAUAUUAUACUUAUUGAAUACAUAUUUCUGUCUUACUAACAGUAAAGAAUAUCUUAAAAAACAGUUUAUGAAUUUACAACAAGAUAAUUCUGAACAGCCCGAAUUUAAACAAAAUAAAUUAAAAUUCAAAGACAAAUGUUUAUAUUUAU